UACGUAGGUGGCAAGCGUUAUCCGGAAUUAUUGGGCGUAAAGAGCGCGCAGGUGGUUGAUUAAGUCUGAUGUGAAAGCCCACGGCUUAACCGUGGAGGGUCAUUGGAAACUGGUCAACUGGAGUGCAGAAGAGGGAAGUGGAAUUCCAUGUGUAGCGGUGAAAUGCGUAGAGAUAUGGAGGAACACCAGUGGCGAAGGCGGCUUCCUGGUCUGUAACUGACACUGAGGCGCGAAAGCGUGGGGAGCAAACAGG
rnacentral:rRNA from 1 species